GACGAACGCUGGCGGCGUGCUUAACACAUGCAAGUCGAACGGAAAGGCCCUGCUUUUGUGGGGUGCUCGAGUGGCGAACGGGUGAGUAACACGUGAGUAACCUGCCCUUGACUUUGGGAUAACUUCAGGAAACUGGGGCUAAUACCGGAUAGGAGCUCCUGCUGCAUGGUGGGGGUUGGAAAGUUUCGGCGGUUGGGGAUGGACUCGCGGCUUAUCAGCUUGUUGGUGGGGUAGUGGCUUACCAAGGCUUUGACGGGUAGCCGGCCUGGGAGGGUGACCGGCACAAUUGGACCUGGGAUACGCCCCGGACUCCACGGGGGGCAAGCGGUGGGGAAUAUUGCACAAUGGGCGGAGGCCGGAUGCAGCACCCCCGCGUGCGGGAUGCCGGCUUUGGGGUUGUAACCGCUUUCGCCUGUGACGAAGCGUGAGUGACGGUAAUGGGUAAAGAAGCACCGGCUAACUACGUG
rnacentral:rRNA from 1 species